UCCAUAUCUGCAUUUUUCUGAGAUGGCAUCAAGAGGCUGCAAGCAUCCGGCAGACACAUUUUGCUAUGUCUGCGGCCAAUUGAUCAAGACAAGAGCGAAAAAGUACUCUGUGGAAGCAUCUGCUAAGAUGUGUGAGGCCUACAAGGCAUAUUUCGGCAUGCCUGUCGGGGAUCAAGACAAACCCUGGGCACUUCAUUUCACCUGCGAGCAAUGCAAAAAUAACUCUGGAAGUUAUUGGCGACCGUGCUUAGACGAUCAACUCACUAUAAUUGAGGACCCAGUUUAAUCACUGGCAGCUGAAACAACAAUUUUAACCCAGGAGCUGAGCAGUGCCAGCUCAGUGUUCUAGCCCCUGAACCACCCAGCCACCUCAAGGUUUGGGGACGCAGCUUAUGUUUCCGGCGAGCCUUGGAAUACGGAGAAUAACACCGAGUGGAUGGAGAGCGAGAAGUUCAUUGCACGGCCAAUGUCGGAAGGUGAGAACAAUUCAGCUUCACAAACCCAUAGCAACCAGUGCGGUGAAAUAACCCCUCAGUACCCAUACAGCGUGGGCAGGGGCCCUCAUACAACGGUGGUGUUGACAAAAAGUGGCUGUACAGAGAGAACGAGUGAGGGGAGCAGGAACAGAGAGAUCCCCGCGCUGCACCCAGGGGAUGGCGAUGGGGCGACGUUCACUGAUGUGCCUGACGCAGAGGUCGCAACCGGGUACCCGAUACCCGUACCCUACCCGAUACCCGGCUAUCCGUACCCGGCCAGGUACGGGUACCCGUUUGCGACCCUGGUGCGGCCGGGUACGGGUACGGGUAGACCGUGAGUCACUGGUGAGUAACUGUUUGUCACUCAUUUCCCAACGUCUUGUCUCUUCUCACAAUUCAAGUUCCUAGAAUCAACCCACCCGCGCCUGCAACAUGGCUUCAUCCCAGAGGUCGCAAUCAGGUACCCGAUACCCGUUUGCGACCCUGGUGCGGCCGGGUACGGGUAAGGAAUCAAAACCCGUUUGCGACCUCUGGCCUGACGCCACCUGUGGCAGCACAGACGUCUGCAGACGUAUCUCUAUCAACGUUACAGCCAUGGCCGUGGGCAGAUGCGCCGCGGUGGCUAGGAGAUGUUAACUACCUCGCCUGGUAUGCAGGAGGUCGUGGGUUCGAUCCCUACCCUGACGUCCGCUGCUGUAUA